AUGAUGCCAAUGCCGCCACCGCCUUGUGAGAAAACUUGUUCCAGCCUAGUAAUUGAUGGUCAGAUGAGCAAGUUUAUCAACUCCCAGCUGGCUAAUGAUGAGAAUCAGCAGCUCGGGGUGGUGUCUAUUCACGGAUAUGGAUGUCUUGGUAAAACAAUGCUUGCCAAAGUGUUGUAUAAUAAAUUGGGGAGGCAAUUCCAUUGUCGGGCUUUCAUCCGGGUGUCCAAAAAGCCUGAUAUGAAAAGGCUUUUCCGCGACAUGCUCUCACAAAUCCAGCAGAAGCAUCCCCAAGCAAGCGAAGACGCUUCUGAUGAACUUCACAUUACUGCUGAAAAUAUCAGGAAUUAUCUACAUGCCAAGAGGUACCUAAUUGUUGUUGAUGAUUUAUGGGAUACAGCAGCAUGGGAUGUUAUUAAUCAGCUUUUCCCGAAGUGUAGUCAAGGAAGCAGAAUAAUAACAACUACACAGAUUGAAGAUGUUGCAUUAGCAUGUUGCAGCGUUGACCCAGAACAAGUUUUUAAGAUGAAUCCUUUGGAUGAUGAUCACUCAAGGAAGCUAUUCUUUGACAGGCUUUUUGGUUCUGAAAGUAACUGUCCUGAAGAAUUGAAACAAGUUUCAAGCCAAAUUAUAGAAAUAUGUGGUGGUUUGCCGCUAGCCACCGUCAGCAUUGCUAGUCUUUUAGCAAACCAGCCUUCUGUAUCAGUAGAUUUAUUAACACACAUACAUGAUUCAUUAGUGUCUUGUUUGUCAUCAAAUUCAACUUCAGAAAGAACGAGACAAGUACUGCACCUCAGCUACAACAGCCUUUCUCAUUACCUCAAGACAUGCUUGCUCCAGCUCCGUAUGUAUCCAGAGGGCUCCUUAAUCUUCAAACAUGAUCUGGUCAGGCAAUGGGUGGGUGAAGGUAUUAUUGCUACAAGAGAAGGGCAAGACACAGAGGAAGUCGCAGGAAUGUAUUUCGAUGAACUUGUUGAUAGAAGAUUCAUCCAACCUAUGUCUAUCAACUUCAACAAUGAGGUGAUGUCAUGCACAGUCCACGACGUGGUACAUGAUCUUAUUGCACACAAGUCUGCAGAAGAGAAUUUCAUUGUGGUACUAGAUCACAAUCGAAAGAUUUUGGCACUUUCUCAUAAGGUCCAUCGACUGUCUCUCCAACUUGGUGAUGCAAAAUAUGCCAAGAUACCAGCAAACAUCAGAAAGUCACAAGUACGUUCACUUGGAGUUUUUGGAUUAUCAGAGUGCAUGCCUUGCAUUGGAGAGUUCAAGCUUGUUCGUGUUCUGAACAUUCAUCUGUCUGGCCAUCAUAAUGGCGACCAAGAACUGGCUGUGGACCUCACUAGGAUAUCCGGACUAUUCCAUCUUAUAUAUCUGAAGAUUGUAUGUGAUGUCUGCAUAAGACUUCCAAACCGUAUGAGAGGGCUGCAGUGUUUGGAAACACUGGAUGUUAUGGAUACACCAAGUGGCACUUAUGUUCCAUGGGACAUUAUAUAUCUCACGCGCUUGUUGCACCUUAGUCUUCCUCCUCACACAAAUCUGCUGGAUUGGUCUUUCGGUGAUGAUCUAAGCCUUUGCAGGCCGAACCACCUGCAGGAUCUUUGCAUUUCUACACCGCCUUCUUCAGAUUACGACCAUCUGAAGAGAAGAAUGUAUGCUCUGGAUUAUUUAAUGUAUGGACAUGACAGCCUGAAAACUGUAAAACUGGUGGCUCACGGAUCCUCGGUUAGCUAUGGUGACACAUCAAAAGCAAGAGUUAGGUGGGUUUUGGAUAAACUUACCCACCAUGUCCAGAGAAUUGAGGUCUCACCGCACAUCCCCGUCAUAUUUUGCAAAAUGCAUUUGUGGGAUAUCCAACAUGGCAACCUGUGCAUUCUGAAGAUUGCAGUGGAUGGACUAUCAGUAAAUGAUGUUGAUAUUCUUAGCGGGUUGCCUGCCCUCACUGCUAUGUCAUUGUAUGUGCAGAAGUCACCUAAUAUUAAGAUAAUAUUUUGCAUGGGGGCUGGAUUCACAGCUCUCAAGUACUUGAAGCUGAGGUUCAUGAGUGGAAUAGCUUGGCUAAAAUUUGAGGCGGACGCAAUGCCUAAUCUCUGGAAGCUCAGGCUCGUUUUCGACGCCAUCCCCCAAAUGGACCAACGACUUGAUCUUUAUUCAGAGGGUGACCAGUGGACACAAUAUCGACAUGGUAAUGCAUUAAUCAACAUCGAGUAUAUGGCACGCCUUAGAGAGGUCUCCGCAAAAUUUGAGGGCGCAGCUGCCUAUCUGAAGUAUGUGUCGAGGAUAGGGAUAGUUAGCAAUCAUCCGAGCAAUGCUAUAAUCAACGUGCAACUAGUGGAUUCUGGUUCCCAUGGCGAUAAAAGGAUAUCAUCAACGUCACCGGAGUCCACUUCCUGCCCGCUGCAUGUUCCAGGUAUGAGCGGGAGCUGGUGGACAUGGAGCAAUAUCAUUGGUGCGAUAGGUCGUGACCUCUUCAUCUAUUGCCUCCACCGGCUGUCCAGGUGGGACUAUGGUGCCAUCGCCUCCCUGAACCAUGAUUUCAAUUCGGUGGUUCGCAACGGGGACAUCUACCGUCUACGUCGCAAAAAUGGGGUGGCGGAACACUGGCUCUACCUCCCUUGCCGUAAUCUCCACGAGUGGGAGGCUUAUGACCCGUCCACUGGGCGCUGGAUCCAUGUGCCCAAGAUUCCACCGGCUGAAAGCUCCUACUGGGACUCUCUUGCUGUAGGAACCGAGCUGCUGGUGUUUGGGGACUUCGGAAGGGUUGCCUGGAGAUAUAGCAUCCUUACCAAUUCAUGGACAUGGCUGGCGGAUGAGAUGAAUACUCCGCGGUACUGCUUUGGGUCAGCAAGUGUCGGGGAGAAGGCGUAUGUCGCGGGAGGCGCUGAUUCUUCUCAUAGUCACUUGAGCUCCGCAGAGAUGUAUGACUCAGAGACACACACUUGGACACUCCUUCCCAGCAUGAAUACAGCUAGGUUCGGAUGCUCUGGCGCGUUCAUGGACGGCAAGUUCUAUGUGAUUGGUGGUAUUACCAGCAGUCUUGAGGUAUUGACAUGCGGUGAGGAGUAUGACUUGAACUGGCGGUCAUGGAGGGUCAUCGACAAUAUAGCUCAGGGCCUCAACAAUACAGUUUUGGGUGCUCCUCCGCUCAUUGCAGUUGUGAAGAAUGAGCUUUAUGGCGCUGAUUACAGUGAGAAUAAUGAGUUGAAGCAGUAUGAUAAGCUGGACAACAAGUGGAUCACUCUUGGAAAAUUGCCUGUAGAGUCUAAGAGAAAGGGCUGCGACAUGGGUUUCCGAGCGUGUGGUGACCGGCUCAUUGUUAUUGGGCCUCCAAACAAUUCUACUAGUAAAGAGUUGGUUGAGCUUCAUUCAUGGACCCCUGAUAAGCAACAGCCUGUGUGGAAUUUGGUUGCAACACGGCAAUUUACCAAUAAGGGGCAGUUUUUGUACUGCACUGUGAUGUGUUGCUGA
rnacentral:rRNA from 1 species